UCCUGGUCUUGCUGUGGCCCUUGCUCUGGCAUCACGCUCAUCCAGAACAGGCAGCCGGAGAUGAUUUUAUGUUCCCUGCUCUGGCAGAAGCAGGGCUUCAUCCGACUGUCAAGGAAAGGGGAACGAUGAGAAAUCCCGCUGGGGCGGGGGGAGAAGGCGGUCCAGGAAAGGGCUGAGGGGGGAGAUUCUGCCCCCUCCCUCAGUGCCCCGAUCCAAGGCUUCCCCAGGACUCAGGGCAGGAGAAGGGGGCCGGAUCCUGUGGCACUCAAGCCGUCUGCCCAGAGGAGGGAGUCCUCAAUGACACCUUCUGGGGCCAAGGGGGUGGAGGACCAAGGGGCUGGUCCCUUUCCAUGUCCCCCCCCCCGGGUCCCCCACUGCUUCUUCCCUACAUCGGACUUCCCUCCCAAACAUCCUCCCACCACUGGCCACCCCACAUCUCCCUCUCCAGACCCCUCCCGUCCCCCACGUACCUCAGCAAGGUGAGAGCCUCCGCGCAGAGGGAGAAGAGGUAGGGAGGCAGGGGGUCCUCCCAGGUAUACUCCAUCUCCUCCUGGGAGGGAACAGAGAGAGGGAGGCGAAAGUCACCCCGAUCCAUGGGGGGGGGGCUCCCCUAGACCUGCCCCAGCUCCACCCCCCUGCCCCGCUGGGCUUGGCUCUGUUCCAAGGGCUGCCUCCACCCCACUCCCCCCCAUCCAGGCCCCCCAGCUGCCAACCACUCACCAGCACGGCCUGGGCUGCCAAACCCUUUGAGAAGGCAAGGCGGCGUUCCCCUCUCUGGAGGCUGUUCCUGCAGGCCUCGAUCAGGGUCUUCAGGAACGUGACCCGGUCCCUCCGGUCCUGGAAGGGGAAAACAAUGGGGCCGUGAAGUGGGGCAGGAUGCCCCUUGGAUGGCAGGCCCCCUUUCAUGUGAGCCGCCCUGCCGUCCCUUGGUACCCCACCCCCCUGGACACGGCUCUGGGCUUCCCUGGGGGGGUUCUGGGAGGGGGUCUCUCCAUACCUUCCCUUCUUCUUCACUUUCCGGUCUGGCCUUAUCCACAAGGCGGAGCCUGGCCUUGAUGAGGCUGCUGGGUGUUGGAGCUGCAGGAAGAGGUGGAGAAGGCAGGAGACUGUAUGAAUUCACUGCCUCGGACGAAAUGCCACGCACUGUGGCUUUUCACCCCUCGCAACAGAUCUUUGCUUGUGGCUUCGAUACCGGCGUGGUGAGGACCAUCAGCUUAUAGCUGCCUCAAAGCUGCUUGAGGAACACAAGCAACACCACGACUCAAUCACGGGGCUGAUCUUCUCCCCAGACGGCAAUUUCAUGUACAGUUGCUGCGCUCGUGGGACCCUGGCUCUUUAUAAUUGUGCUGUCCAGAAAAGUCACAUCGUCCGAGUUCUGGCUAAUGUGGUUGUACAAGAUGCUGACCACAGGCCCGAUGCCUUGUCGAUCAGCGCCGACGGACAUCUCCUGGCCUUCGUGGGACCUUCCGAGUACAUUGUGACUCUGAUGGAUGCCAGAUCCCUAGAUGAACUUGAGCUGUUUUAAGCACUGAGGAGAUCCGCCCACAUGCACUGGGUUAAGGAUCUUCAAGUAUGACUACUUCCUGCCUUUUGGAGCAUGUGGGGGGGAUGUAAUCCCAAGCUUGGGUGACCUCUUCUACACCAGCCAGAAGACACCUUCACGGUACCCAACCCUCUGCCUCCCAGCCUGGCAGCCUUUUGCCCUUGGGAUAAAAGCACAAUCGUCUACAUGGGCUUUGGGCUGCAGAAGGAGGUCUUGUUCUACAGCCUGCUGCAGAAACAGGUUGUGGAGAAGUUCCCCCUGCCUUACUUUGCCACGUCGCUGAGUUUGUCUCCUGCUGCCUGCGUCCUGGCUGUUGGCUUCAACGAGCACCUGCUGAGGCUGAUUGACCGCACAGCCAAGACAGAACAGGACUACGCCGGCCACGACGAUGCCGUCGGCCUCUGCCGCUUCACCCCCUCCAGGAGGCGCCUCUUCACGGCUUCCUUUAACGAGAUCCUGGUGUGGGAGGUCCAGAGCAGAUGAACCCAGCUCUCUCACUCGCCUGCUCGAAGGAUGCCAGCGUGGUGGCCGCUCGGAACUCCUCACUUUGCCCCGUUUGAGCUCCGAGAACUUCUGGUCGUGCCCAGGAGCUCUGGAGAUGCCCCGUUAGACCCGACACGGGACUGUUCCAUGGCUUUCGAGAAUAUGCUUCCGAUGUUUGGGGUAGAAAUGGCUGAUGGCAACCGACGACGAUGCAGGAGUUGAGGGCCAGCUUUUGCAUGGGGGACAGACGUCUCCUGGCUUGCUUGGUUUCAGACACACCUCUUCUUGAUUCACAGACCCUGGAUUACUUGCCUGGAAAUCGCCAUACUGGGGGUGAUCCAGGAUUUGGACUCUUGGCUAGAUUCCCCCUCCCCAAAACUCAGGAUCAUCUUGGCUCAAUAGGGUAACUCUCUUGAUUGGAACUGAGGCAGAGAAGCUAUUUUGAGUGUCCCUCAGAUGUAGGUGUUACUUGACAUUUAUGGGGAUGGUUAGAAGUAUGAUCUUUUCCCCUGAUCCCUGAUAACAAUGCCAGUAGCUAAUUUAUUAGUCUUCCUGGUUUCCCCGGCAUGGACAGGGAGCAUUCUUGGCCACCUUUUCUAAAUGGGAUCACAGGUGGUUUAUUUAGAAAGUCCCCUUCUGGACUGGGUCAUGGCUCUGUCCUCGUGUGGACUUGAGGGUGAGCAAUCCUCAAUCUCGUUGGCUUUUCCAUAGAAGUAUCCCUGACCCCAGGACAGUGACAAAGCCAAGUAACAGAAUCACCCUUUUGGAAUCUCCCUUGAGAAACAGUGCAAGGAACAAGAUUAAACUCUUGUUCUUCAAAAAAAAAAAACACCCAACCACUUUUCAUUUUGAUAGUUGCAUCUUAGCUAAGUGGUGUUGAGAAUUUGUAAGUCAGAAGAGAUUCUCAGCUCUUUCCCCCCAGUUUGCUGAAUUCUCUCAGCAGCCCAGAUAUGGAAACAAAAUUAACUAUGCUCAGCAGAUAUAGGAUGGCCACUGGGACCAGAUCUUGUGAGCACAAAGUUGCCUUUCUGAUUAGAAGAUUUAUUUAAGGAAUAUUUUAUAGUGAAAAAUUGUGUGUUUUUUAAACAAAGAAUGCAUUGGUAGUAGGGUAGAGAGCUGGCAAAAUGGAAACUGGACAUCAACUGACAGGGAAAUAACUAAUAUUUCCCUCUCAGAAUUAGACUGUAUCAACAACACACACAACUGCAUUGCUUUUGUCAUUUGUAAUUUAUUACAAGCUGGAAGAGAAGAAAACUGGUCUGCUUGUGUUUAAGUUUUGAUUCCUAAUAAACGAGUGUGUUUUUAUGCA